rnacentral:rRNA from 1 species
GAAUUGUUCGCAAUGGGCGCAAGCCUGACGACGCAACGCCGCGUGGAGGACGAAGAUCUUCGGGUCGUAAACUCCUGUCGAGCGGGAAGAACACCUUUCUGGUGAAUAACCGGGAGGGCUGACGGUACCGCUAAAGGAAGCCCCGGCUAACUCCGUGCCAGCGGCCGCGGUAAUACAGAGGGGGCAAGCGUUGUUCGGAAUUACUGGGCGUAAAGGGCGCGUAGGCGGCCUGCUAAGUCGAACGUGAAAUCCCUGGGCUCAACCCAGGAACUGCGUCCGAUACUGGUUGGCUUGAAUCCGGGAGAGGGAUGUGGAAUUCCAGGUGUAGCGGUGAAAUGCGUAGAUAUCUGGAGGAACACCGGUGGCGAAGGCGACAUCCUGGACCGGUAUUGACGCUGAGGCGCGAAAGCCAGGGGAGCAAAC